ACAACAUGAAAGAAAACCUAUCACUGACAAAAAAGAGUUUCCCAGCAGUCCUGAAAUUAAAUUUAAUCAAAAUGCUCUCAAUGCAGUCAACAAAAUUUUCAUUAGAAAAGAUUUAAACACUGAAUUUGGAAUCCUCUCAAACCCAUUUUGUUGUGAUAAUAUGGGACUACACUACAUCAAUAAAAGGAUUGAUACACAACGCCCUUUUUAUCGUCUAUGCUCAAGUAGAAGAAUGUUUUCGGCGGUUGAAGUUAUUACAUUGAUUACCGAUCUUAAUGACAAUCUCUUUGGAGUGAAAUUGUUGCUCAACAACAAAUCCCCGAAUAUCGACGACUGCUAGUCUCAUAAGGUGCAACUAUAGACUGACAAAAUGGAAACUACUGGGAUUUAAAACUCGUUCUGGAAAGAUUGUUUGGAUGGUUUUGGAUGCUGUUGUUGACAUGACUCUGAACUGAUACUACACACGUUGAUGUAUUGAUCUGAAAUAAAUUAGAUUUUCAAUACAAACAUACCAAAAUUUUUUUCAACAGUAUCUGUCAUGAAGUGAUGAUAAAAAAGAGCGAGCUACAUUUAUAAUUAAAAUAAAAAAUCAACUGUCAUUCAAACCAAGGAAUUUGAAACAUGUUCUUCACGUACCAAACAAGGGAAAAAUAUUGAAUGGAAACACUACAUUAUACGGAUCAUAUCUAUGAGUGAAAAUUUUUGAGUCGAACAAAAAAUAUUGUAUACAACCACAAACUCUUUUCAUAUUAAACAGAGAAAAAAUGAGAAACAAUACUAA